rnacentral:lncRNA from 1 species
UGUUUUAAAAUUUUUUCGAGAGAUAGGAUCUCGCUUAGUUGCCCAGGCUGGUCUUGAACUCCUGGGCUCAAGCAAUCUUCCCACUUUGGACCCCCACAGUGCUGGGAUUACAGGGGUAAGCCACCACACCCAACCUCAAUCUUCUUGUGAUCUGUUAUGUUGACAACCAAGACAGCUACUUAGUGGUUGGUUGAUGGGUGGACAGUGUAUACAGCAUGGACACACUGGACAGAGGCAUGACUCAAUGUUCCAGUAUUUUCAGAUUUCAGGUGACUGCUGUAACUUGAAGCAAGAAAAGUGAAACUACAGAAAAGGGAGGACCACUGGACGGCUGCUUUCAUUCUACGCCCACUUUUUAGAGUGCAUUCCUACAAUAAGCACCCUAAUAAUGUAAACCAGGGGCCAAGGGAUGCACCUUCCACUCUACUUCCUUCC